UGGGGAAUAUUGCACAAUGGGCGGAAGCCUGAUGCAGCGACGCCGCGUGGGGGAUGAAGGCCUUCGGGUUGUAAACUCCUUUCGACAGGGACGAAGCGUAAGUGGCGGUACCUGUAUAAGAAGCACCGGCUAACUACGUGCCAGCAGCCGCGGUAAUACGUAGGGUGCGAGCGUUGUCCGGAAUUACUGGGCGUAAAGAGCUCGUAGGUGGUUUGUCGCGUCGUCUGUGAAAUUCCGGGGCUUAACUCCGGGCGUGCAGGCGAUACGGGCUGACUUGAGUGCUGUAGGGGAGACUGGAAUUCCUGGUGUAGCGGUGAAAUGCGCAGAUAUCAGGAGGAAUACCGAUGGCGAAGGCGGGUCUCUGGGCAAUAACUGACGCUGAGGAGCGAAAGCAUGGGUAGCGAACAGGAUUAGAUACCCUGGUAGUCCAUGCCGUAAACGGUGGGCGCUAGGUGUAGGGGGCUUCCACGUCUUCUGUGCCGUAGCUAACGCAUUAAGCGCCCCGCCUGGGGAGUACGGCCGCAAGGCUA
rnacentral:rRNA from 1 species